rnacentral:rRNA from 1 species
CCUACGGGAGGCAGCAGUGGGGAAUAUUGCACAAUGGGGGAAACCCUGAUGCAGCGACGCCGCGUGAAGGAAGAAGGAUUUCGGGAUGUAAACUGCUAUCAGCAGGGAAGAAAAUGACGGUACCUGACGAAGAAGCCCCGGCUAACUACGUGCCAGCAGCCGCGGUAAUACGUAGGGGGCGAGCGUUAUCCGGAGUUACUGGGUGUAAAGGGAGCGGAGGGGGGUUCGCAAGUCAGACGUGAAAGCCUGGGGGUCAACUCCGGGACUGCUUUUGAAACUGUUGAACUAGAGUGCAGGAGAGGUAAGUGGAAUUCCUAGUGUAGCGGUGAAAUGCGUAGAUAUUAGGAGGAACACCAGUGGCGAAGGCAGCUUACUGGACUGUAACUGACGCUGAGGCUCGAAAGCGUGGGGAGCAAACAGGAUUAGAUACCCUUGUAGUC